rnacentral:rRNA from 1 species
GAUGAACGCUGGCGGCGUGCCUAAUACAUGCAAGUCGAGCGAACAGACAAGGAGCUUGCUCCCUUGACGUUAGCGGCGGACGGGUGAGUAACACGUGGGUAACCUACCUAUAAGACUGGAAUAACUCCGGGAAACCGGGGCCAAUGCCGGAUAACAUUUAGAACCGCAUGGUUCUAAAGUGAAAGAUGGCUUUGCUAUCACUUAUAGAUGGACCCGCGCCGUAUUAGCUAGUUGGUAAGGUAACGGCUUACCAAGGCAACGAUACGUAGCCGACCUGAGAGGGUGAUCGGCCACACUGGAACUGAGACACGGUCCAGACUCCUACGGGAGGCAGCAGUAGGGAAUCUUCGGCAAUGGGCGAAAGCCUGACGGAGCAACGCCGCGUGGGUGAUGAAGGUCUUCGGAUCGUAAAGCUCUUUUAUUAGGGAAGAACAAAUGUAUAAGUAACUCUGCACGUCUUGACGGUACCCAAUCAGAAAGCCACGGCUAACUUCGUG